GACGAACGCUGGCGGCGUGCUUAACACAUGCAAGUCGAACGGAAAGGCCCCAGCUUGCUGGGGUACUCGAGUGGCGAACGGGUGAGUAACACGUGGGUGAUCUGCCCUGCACUCUGGGAUAAGCCUGGGAAACUGGGUCUAAUACCGGAUAGGACCGUGCUUUAGUGUGUGCGGUGGAAAGUUUUUCGGUGCAGGAUGGGCCCGCGGCCUAUCAGCUUGUUGGUGGGGUAAUGGCCUACCAAGGCGGCGACGGGUAGCCGGCCUGAGAGGGUGUACGGCCACAUUGGUACUGAGACACGGCCCAGACUCCUACGGGAGGCAGCAGUGGGGAAUAUUGCACAAUGGGCGCAAGCCUGAUGCAGCGACGCCGCGUGGGGGAUGACGGCUUGCGGGUUGUAAACCCCUUUCGGCAGGGACGAAGCGUUUGUGACGGUACCUGCAUAAGAAGCACCGGCUAACUACGUG
rnacentral:rRNA from 1 species